rnacentral:rRNA from 1 species
AUGUACCACAAGGUGCACUCGUUCGGUCCAACAUCUCGUCCUGAUCAUCUGCAGUUGUACUUCUAUGACGACGACCCAAACUUAAGCCAUCGCAAGGAGGCCACCAAGCAAUUGGACCAGAGUGUUGUCAGCAAGUUAGUGGACAUCCUCAGGGAAAACCCCUACUCCCAGCAGUUUAGGAGUUUGGGUGCCCACAAGGAAAACCUCGAGGAGUACCGGAUAGACCUCAACAUUGACCAGAAGCUAGACCAACGGAGAUAUAACAAACCGGUGUCAUCUGAGGUGGCUGCGAUUUGGGUCGAGGGAAGCGAUCUAGCAAACAGGUUCAACCGCAACAUUACACUCUAUGGGGACAACAACGAGAAGCAUAGUAUACAUGCUACAGAAGGUUGCUAUGACCCGCUGUCGUAUCCCCUCUUUUUCCCAAGGGGGGAGCUUGGUUGGCAUCCAAAUAUCCCUAAGCACAAUGUCCCUUGGGAACUUGCACAACAACCAAGAGGAAACCGCGAUAACGAUUCAGGUUCGCCUAUUUAG